rnacentral:rRNA from 1 species
AGUAGACGUUCAGAGUUUUGAUCCUGGCUCAGGAUGAACGCUAGCGGCAGGCUUAACACAUGCAAGUCGAGGGGCAGCAUGACGGAACCUUCGGGUUUUUGUUGAUGGCGACCGGCGCAAGGGUGCGUAACGCGUGAGCAACUUGCCCGUCUCAGGGGGAUAACCGGUGGAAACGCCGACUAAUACCCCAUAGCAUCAUGAUUAGGCAUCUUUUCAUGAUUAAAGAAUUUCGGAAACGGAUAGGCUCGCGUGACAUUAGCUAGAUGGCGGGGUAACGGCCCACCAUGGCGACGAUGUCUAGGGGUUCUGAGAGGAAGGUCCCCCACACUGGAACUGAGACACGGUCCAG